CGGGAGUUUUGUACUGGUCACCGUGCCCUCUCAUGUGCAUCCUCAGGUUGGCGUCUCUCUUGAAACCCUUGCCACAUAUAGUGCAGAAGUUGGUAUGGGGGGCGAGGAUCUCCUCUUUCUCAAGCUGCUUAAUCUCGUAGGAACCGGGAGGAAGGUUCUCUCCUUCCUCGGCAUCAUCUUCGAGCUCUUGGGAGGCGCCACCGUUGUUAAGGGUCUGUGAAGCAAGGUUAUUAGCCUCCCUUGGAAAAGGGAACAAGGCUGAACCUG
rnacentral:lncRNA from 1 species